CCAUUAUGACGUCAUUCAGGCGGCGGACCUAUGGAAGAUUCUCAGGUUGAGGAACUCAGACCUCCUACCAAUAGCUAACCAGGUUGCCCCCAGGCUUGUGAGGGAGCAUCUUGGAAGUGGAUCCUCCUGCCCAUCAAGGCUUCAGAAGACUGCAGCCUCAGCCAACUUCUUGGCUUGCACCACAUGAGAGCCUCUGAGGCAGAGUCACCCAACUAAGCUACUCCCAAGUUUGUGACCUACUGAGUGAGAUACGUAUUAUUGUUUUAAGCCAUUAAGAUCUGGGGUAAUUUGUUACACGGCAAUGAGUAACUAAUACAUCUGUCUUAUGGGUUUUUAUAUGAUGUCCCAACUGCACUCCCUGAGGUUGUUGUCUGUUUAUCUGCAACAGUGGACUGGAUUGGUCAGGAGCAUAAUUACCUAUGUAAUGGGUGGGACGUCAUGGCCUUUUCCCUCUGCCACUGCAUAUCUCCGAGGCCCAUCUUCACGCUCCUCCAGACCACCGCCCAAGCCACCAUCAUCAUCCACCUCUUGGAUACUGACUGAAUCACACUCCCCGGGGUCCUGUCAUUAAGCUACAACUACAGUCUCCCACCUCAAGCCCUAAAUUGGAAGCCGGGGACGCCAAGGCAGAGAACUAUCAUCUUCAAGGCCUAGAUCCCAUCCUUCCCUUUCAAAACACCUCCAUAAAGAAGCUGAGUAUUUCACGGCGGAAUUGUUCGUGGAUAAAGCUGCAAGUAACAUUAACUCGAGAUACUAUAGGUGCCAGCAUUUCAAGUACUAGUCAUGGUAUUUUUUCUCCUGGAGUCAUAAUAUUGAGUAAGACCCAGCAAAUGCAAAAUAAAAGGAUGAUGGAUUCCCUCAGUAAAUGCUCUCAAGAGUCUCAGAUUUAAAAUCAG